ACGCUAUCACUCCUACGGGAGGCAGCAGUGAGGAAUAUUGUCAAUGGAGGGAACUCUGAACCAGCCAUCCCGCGUGUAGGGAAGACGGCCUUUAUAGGGUUGUAAACUUACUUUUAUACAGGAAGAAACGUACCCUCGUGAGGGUGCCUGACGGUACUGUAGGAAUAAGCACCGGCUAACUCCGUGCCAGCAGCCGCGGUAAUACGGAGGGUGCGAGCGUUAUCCGGAUUUAUUGGGUUUAAAGGGUCCGUAGGCGGGUUAAUAAGUCAGUGGUGAAAUCCCAUCGCUUAACGAUGGAACUGCCAUUGAUACUGUUAGUCUUGAAUGAGGGUGCAGUGGUUGGAAUGUGUAGUGUAGCGGUGAAAUGCAUAGAUAUUACACAGAACACCGAUUGCGAAGGCAGAUCACUAACCCUAAAUUGACGCUGAGGGACGAAAGCGUGGGGAGCGAACAGGAUUAGAUACCCUGGUAG
rnacentral:rRNA from 1 species